CAUCUUCUCCAGGGGAGGCUGCACAGCUUUGAACACAAAAUAACACUUAAAAAUAAACCUUAGAAAAAGCUUCGACGUUCUGCUUCUGUUUGAACCAAACGACGAGCUUCUUCUUCAAAGAAGAAGAAGCGUCUUCCAUGGCUGCUUAACCCAAACAAAGCUCCUUUCUCUCAUGCCAACCACCACAACCGACGUUCACCAGUUCCUCACUCGAGCUGUUGCUUCGCCGGAAUUGAUAACUGGCGAGUAACAACGCCACUAGCAGCAGCAAAUUUGUAGAACAACGUCGUCAUUUGUGUUUAUGCGUAAAAAUAAUUCGAAAUCCGUCUAGGUCUGACCAGCGACCUCCAUUAACGCCGACGAAGUCACAUUUUUGUUCUUCAUUGCUGAAAUCACAAUAACUGUUUCCGUUCUUUUGUCGUUUGGCACCUUUGCCUUUUGUUCUGAUUUUGAGAUUCUGCCGGAAACUUCAUUGUCUGAGGUUGCUGUCUAAUUUGUCCAAAGCUCCGUCUGUUGGUUCCGUCGAGGUUCGAGUGUCGUCCGACGAGAUUCCGCCUCAUAGAGGUCCUGAACUGUUGUCUCGUUUGCUCUUGGAUUCACAUACUGGAAAGUUCAAUAAUUUGUUCAAGGAAACGUCAUUGUCUGAGGUUGCUGUCUAAUUUUUCCAAAGCUCCAUCUAUUGGUUCCGUCGAGGUUCGAGUGUCGUUCGGCGAGAUUCCGCCUCAUCGAGGUCCUGAACUGUUGUCUUGUUUGCUCUUGGAUUCACAUACUGGAAAGCUCAAUAAUUUGUUCAAGGUUUUCUUCUUCCUAUGUUUCAUUUCGUUACUCUUACGUGAUUCAGUGCUUCAGUUGUGAUAUAAGUUUAACAUGAAUUUUGAAUUUAUGUUUUGGUUGAUUCUUUGCAUCUGUAGUUUGAAUUAAUUUUUUCCUUUUGUCAUUGUUGCUAAAAUAAAAACAGAGUUCUAAUGAAAAAAAAGUUAGACAAUGAUGUUGAGUUGAAAUACACUGUGAGGGAUUGAAAUGCUGAGCCGAAGCAAUAUAGACUAUUUUUGGGCAAAUUGUGUUAAUUUAUGUUCUGGUUCAAAUUGUGACUGAUCAAGGGCAAGGAAUAUUCAUGUCUCUAUGGCACGAGUGUGAUUUGCAAGAAAAAGGAGUACUAUGAAAGUUUUACUGAAUUUUGGGUUGGUUGAUCGUUAAUUUUGGGUUGUUAAUAUGUGGAGAUGAAUUGAGCUUUAUUUUAUUUA